UCGAGAAUCUUCGGCAAUGAGCGCAAGCUUGACCGAGCGACGCCGCGUGCGGGAUGAAGGCCUUCGGGUUGUAAACCGCUGUCAGAGGGGAUGAAAUGCAGGGGGGUUCUCCCCCUUGUUUGACAAAGCCUCAGAGGAAGUCCGGGCUAAGUUCGUGCCAGCAGCCGCGGUAAUACGAACCGGACAAACGUUAUUCGGAAUCAUUGGGCUUAAAGGGUGCGUAGGCGGCACGGCAGGUUGGAUGUGAAAUCCCUCGGCUCAACCGAGGAACUGCGUCCAAAACCGCCGCGCUAGAGGGAGACAGAGGUAAGCGGAACUGAUGGUGGAGCGGUGAAAUGCGUUGAUAUCAUCAGGAACACCAGUGGCGAAAGCGGCUUACUGGGUCUUUUCUGACGCUGAGGCACGAAAGCUAGGGUAGCGAACGGGAUUAGAUACCCCUGUAGUCC
rnacentral:rRNA from 1 species